ensembl:miRNA MIR1321 microRNA 1321
ACAUUAUGAAGCAAGUAUUAUUAUCCCUGUUUUACAAAUAAGGAAAUAAACUCAGGGAGGUGAAUGUGAUCAAAGAUAG